rnacentral:sRNA from 1 species
GCAAUAUCUGAGUUCCGAACUGUCCCUGGAGUUGUGGUGGCUCUGGCCAGGUGAGCACUGACUGUCUGAGUGUCAUUGCACCAGGAACCCAUCACGACUCACGUAUAUCCCUAAGAAGAGGACGGCAAGUUUUGAAAUGUGGUCCAGGUUUGGGGUUUGGAUACCCUGGAUGCCUUAUAUCAUGAAAUGUAUAUAGUGCUUCCCAGCCUCGUGGAAACUAGCCAAGAGGGAAUGAAGUUCCCAGAUCAAGAUGACAACUGAACACUCAACUGUUCUUGACACCAUGCCUUUGCUCAGCUAUCAUGGACUCCAGCCUUGGGAACCAUAAGCUCAACUUCCUUUAGCAAGUUGCUUUGGCUAUGUUCUGCCCAGCAGAAAGGUAACUAAGACUC